rnacentral:rRNA from 1 species
GACGAACGCUGGCGGCGUGCCUAAUACAUGCGAGUAGAACGCUGAAGGAGGAGCUUGCUUCUCUGGAUGAGUUGCGAACGGGUGAGUAACGCGUAGGUAACCUGCCUGGUAGCGGGGGAUAACUAUUGGAAACGAUAGCUAAUACCGCAUAAUAGUAGAUGUUGCAUGACAUUUGCUUAAAAGGUGCAAUUGCAUCACUACCAGAUGGACCUGCGUUGUAUUAGCUAGUUGGUGGGGUAACGGCUCACCAAGGCGACGAUACAUAGCCGACCUGAGAGGGUGAUCGGCCACACUGGGACUGAGACACGGCCCAGACUCCUACGGGGGGCAGCAGUAGGGAAUCUUCGGAAAUGGACGGUAGUCUGACCGAGCAACGCCGCGCGAGUGAAGAAGGUUUUCGGAUCGUAAAGCUCUGUUGUAAGAGAAGAACGAGUGUGAGAGUGGAAAGUUCACACUGUGACGGUAUCUUACCAGAAAGGGACGGCUAACUACGUG